rnacentral:lncRNA from 1 species
AGUCAUUACAGUUCAAUCACAAAAAGUCAGAUUUAAAAGUAAUUGGUUUGAAGGUAUCCUCACAUUUAUGAAGGAGGUGAUUCUCUGUUUAUAGAAUUCCUUCGGCUGGGAUCGCAAUCAUUCUGUCACCACAUGUUUGACUUUGUCCAAUUGAAAACAUCUGCCUUUCAUAUCCUCCUUCAGCAGACCAAACAAAUGAAAUUUCAUGGCAAUAAGUUCAUAAAACAAACAGCACAGGUUGCAAGCAUAACACAGGUUUAUUUUGUAAAUGGAGCCCAGCUCGUUAAACCUCUCCAAGGCACUUUCGGGCUCACCACUAUGAAGGCUAUGCAUUUAAUCAGAAUGAAACAGUCCCAUGAUGUAAUCAACAAUCACGACCCAUUUGUUACCACCAGCAUGGAAGUGGUGUGCAGCCAAUGAAAUCUAGAGAGAAAGGGCCCUAUCAACUUAUGAUGUAGCCUAUAUCAAGUUCUCUUGGCCCUUAGGCCCCAUCUUCUUACGGAAUGAUUUUUAGUAUCCUGGAAAAUGUUGCUAUC